GCAUCACUCUUCUUUAGUCGAAUCUGACUAAGUAAAAUUUGUGCAUUGAGAAAAGCGUGUAGAGAGGUCAUAAUGAGCUGGCAGAAUAGUGGUAGUCUGGAUUACCUUGUGAGAAGAAUCAUACAUAUAUGAGCUGUGAUUAAGAUUCACUCUUCUAUGACUCAGAUUUUUCUUCUUAUUACGUUCUCAGAUGCAUUGCGUGGAGAAACAAGCCAUUAUUUCCUCUUUCUUUCUCUGUUUCCACUACUUUUUCCUAUUCCUUUAUGAUGCUGUUUUUCUACUCUGAAAUUUCCAAUAUUGAAAUUCUUCUCCAGGCUAGAGGCACGCAAAACUGUAUUUCAUGAUCAACUCAAUAUUGGAAGCAUCAGUUCGGCACCUGUGCUCCAUGCUAGAGCUCCAUACAACAUUUUUGUAGCCAGAACUGUGCCUCCAAUCAUUACCUUGAGCAGAAUAAAUGUGCAGAAGUUCCAGGCGAAGCUGCUGCCUAAGGGGUUGGCCAGCCCCAUGGAUGUGCUCAAGAUAGAGUCAGGAACUUGGUUUGUUAUCAAAACGGAAAGUAAUGUUUCCCACACUAUGCCUACAGUGAUUCUCCUCGAAGACAUGAGGUGCUGCAUUUUGGAUCUGAGAAAUCUGAAGUGCGAUUUCGUAGGAAUCAGCAACAUAUAGGAUCCAAAGCAUCUAAGCAUGCUCCAGACCAUCUGCAGCGCAAUAGUUAGUGAGCGUCCACAAUGGUGGUGGAGAUGAGGGGCGAGCGGAGCGAGAGCAAUAUAGGUAUUGGGGUUCUCAUCUAUUACCGUCCAUUUCAAUGUACGCAUAUUUCAUCGGCAUUAGCUCCCAGUUAUUUAAAUUAAUAACAAGUUGUUGAGCAGGAUCAGUAACUAUAGCAAUGUUUUUAGAAUUAAUUGUAUGCCUCGCAAGGGUACUUCCUAGUUUGAAAUGAUGUAGCAGGCUGAUGCGGCAAACAAUUGACAAACCAGGAUAUGCUGCUCGUGCUCGAGCUUCCCAAGCACAAUGCUAACCAGUAACUUUUC